GACGAACGCUGGCGGCGUGCUUAACACAUGCAAGUCGAACGGAAAGGCCUGCUUUCCCUUGUGGAUUGCGGGUACUCGAGUGGCGAACGGGUGAGUAACACGUGAGUGAUCUGCCCCCAACUUGGGUAUAAGCCUGGGAAACUGGGUCUAAUUCCCGAUAGGACUGCAGGGUGGUGCCUGUGGUGGAAAACGAUUUUCUAGUGGUUGGGGAUGAGCUCGCGGCCUAUCAGCUUGUUGGUGGGGUAAUGGCCUACCAAGGCGGCGACGGGUAGCCGGCCUGAGAGGGUGGACGGCCACAGUGGGACUGAGAUACGGCCCAGACUCCUACGGGAGGCAGCAGUGGGGAAUAGUGCACAAUGGGCGGAAGCCUGAUGCAGCGACGCCGCGUGGGGGAUGACGGCCUUCGGGUUGUAAACUCCUUUCGACCGCGAGGAAGCCACCUGGUUGGAAGGGUGGUGACGGUAGCGGUAGAAGAAGCACCGGCUAACUACGUG
rnacentral:rRNA from 1 species